rnacentral:lncRNA from 1 species
CAACCAGUUCUGUCUUCGGUCUGAAUCCUGUUCAUCUACUUGUGUUCCUUCAGCUUCCUUCCACUAAAAUGGCCUGUUGUGUGUUGAACAGUGUCCCCUAAUCCUUGGUGCCUGUGAAUGUGACUUCACUUGGGAGGUGGAUCUUAGCAGACGUAGUUAAAUGGGAUCAUGGAGGUGAGCCCUAGUCCAAUCUGUCUAGUGGCCUUAUAAGAAAAGGAAAGCAUCACGUGAAGGCACACAGGGACAGCACAGCCACGUGAUGAUGGAAACAGCACUGGAAGUGAUGCAUCUGCAAGCUAAGGAACCAAGAUCUGCUGGGAGAGCCCAGACUUAGAAGAGGGAGAGGAGAGGGAGGAGUCUUCCCUGCAGAUGUCAGAGGGAGGAUGGUCCUGCCAACACCUCGAUUUCAGACUUACAGCCUCCAGAGUGGUGAGGCAAGACAUUCUUGUUGUUUUAAGCCAUUUGGUUUGUGGCAAUGUGUUGCAUCAGCCCUAGGAAGUUAAGACGUGGCCCACGGGAUGCUCUAAAAAUCAGAAUACUUUGGUAUGUUCUUUCUCCAGCUAAUGACUUGUAGGCUGGUGUGUGAGCCAUUUCUCUGAGUGCAAACAGGGAAGACAUGCUUACCACGAGCUGGUGCAUGGAGAGACUGUGGUCCUGAAUCACCUGGACUUGUGUGGAAGGCUGUCCAUGUGCUGCCAGUCAGCCCAACAGUGCCCCUCAGUCUGCAUGGUGCUGUCUGUGGGUUUGCCCCAAAUGGGCACAUCACUGUGCCUCUUCGCUUUUGGUUUCUGAGGACAUGACAAUGAAGAGGCUGGGACGUUCCCAGGAAAGAGUCUCAUGGACACACCCUCCCGUCCAGGCCUUCCCCCUCUGCCUCUCUGCAGGCGAAUCUCUGCUCAUAAUGCAUUCGACUCUUGGGACCCUUCCAACUCCGACAACUGCGGUACACACAGAAUCAUACAUUCAGGGCUUUCGUGCAGCCAGGUUGGGGCAACCUCCUGAAGCAUGCUGGAAUGGGGGAAGGAUAAUUCCCCUGCCUGCAGUCACGGACAAGAGCUUCCACAGAAGCAAUAGUUUCUUUGAUUAUUUUUUUUUCCAUAGCUGGUGAAAGGAUUUCUAUGUUGGAGUUAAGCAUGUGGUUGAACUGUUAUUGAAAAUAUGUUAAGCCACAGAAAAUAACUUGGGUUGGAUAUGUAGGAACACUCUGUCUGGUUCCUAAGCUCUUUGUAGCAGCUAGUUUAUCAUUAUAGUGCAUGGGGAGUAUCUGUGUUUAUGGCAGAUCUGAAACAUCUUUGUGUGGCAAAUGAAGAGCAGCGCGUUAAAAAGGGAAAGCAGUGUGAACCAGGACGCAACAGAGAGAUUACUCUUGCUCCAAGCAAUAUACUGAGAGCAGUAAAGAAUAAAUCUGUCUUUGCAAAACA